AGAGUUUGAUCCUGGCUCAGAAUCAACGCUGGCGGCGUGCCUCAGACAUGCAAGUCGAACGCGAAAGUCCCCUUCGGGGGGCAAGUAGAGUGGCGCACGGGUGAGUAACACGUAGGUAAUCUACCUUUGGAUUGGGAAUAACAACCGGAAACGGUUGCUAAUACCGAAUAAUGCAGCGGCACCUAAUGGUGACAGUUGUUAAAGCGGGGGAUCGCAAGACCUCGCGUCUGAAGAGGAGCCUGCGGCGGAUUAGCUAGUUGGUAGGGUAACGGCUUACCAAGGCGAUGAUCCGUAGCCGGCCUGAGAGGGCGGUCGGCCACACUGACACUGACAUACGGGUCAGACUCCUACGGGAGGCAGCAGUCGGGAAUUUUGGGCAAUGGGCGAAAGCCUGACCCAGCAACGCCGCGUGAAGGAUGAAAUCCCUCGGGAUGUAAACUUCGCAAGAAUGGGAAGAAUAAGUAAGAGUUAAUAUCUCUUACGAUGACGGUACUGUUUGUAAGCUCCGGCUAACUCCGUGCCAGCCGCCGCGGUAAUAC
rnacentral:rRNA from 1 species